CAAGGAUCUAGACCUUUGGCACCUAUUAUUUGUAUUACCGUAGCACCAAAGAGGCCUAGUCAAUUAGGCACCUACAUGCUUUUGAAAAUCCCUCUAGGCUUCUAGUUCCAUCUGUAUGUACCAAAAUAUCUUUUAAAAUCUGCCAUGGAGCCCUUAGGAACCUUGUCUUUUAAUGAGAUUUAGCACCCUAGGUGCCUAAAUCAUUUUUGAAAAUGGACUUAGGAGCCUAAGUCAUUUAGAUAUCUCUGAAAAUCUCAGGCAAAGCUCACAUGUCUAUCUCCCCUCAUGAAUGGAGGGAUUAUUUUUCUGCCUCCUGUUUAGGCACCACCAGUUCUGAGGAGACAAAGCAAAAUCUUUCCCCCUCCCCUUUUCUGGUUGGAAUGGUUUGAGGUGGUUUAGGAGGUUCGGAGGGGAUCCACAUGUAAAACGCUAGUUAUUUAGGUCUGUACAAGGAGCUGCUUUCUUUGCCAUCAUUCCUCACCCGUGUUAACAGCCGGCCAGGGAAAGGCAGGGGUGGGGGAGACUUGGCUUGCAGGUUUCACUCUGAUUCUUCGCUCUGAUUUCUCAAAAGACUCAUAACACUUUUGAAAGAGACUGAGAGAAAUAAUUAAGCCAAAGAGCAAAUUGAAGGCCAGGGCCUAUAAUUCUUUGGGCAAAGAUCCUGCUCCUGCUGUAAUUAGCAUUUCCUGCUGAUGUUAUUAAUCGAGUCAGGAUCCCCACCUGCACGUUUCUAAAAGGGUUGGGCAGAAGCUGUCUUCCAUUUCCAUGCGAUGGUGGCGAGGAGGAGAGGGGUCAGCUUACCAUGUGCAUUUCCUGAGGAAGUGGGCAGCACCUAGGAGUCGUGGAUCAGCAUCCUAUUGGAUCUGGCGCUGUACAUGCACAGAACAAAGACAGUCAUUGCAUCAUCGGCUCUGCAUGAACAGCGGAACUACUUCUGUGCGCUGUUCUUGUUCCACUGGAAGGAGAAGCCUCCUUCACUUUCCUUAGUUUUAUUUACGUGGGUUUGAUUAAAUGCCCGGUUGCACACCACGAGCAUGCAUGGAUGAGACAGAGACAGGAUGCAAACCAACUCCCCCCCCCUCCAAAAAAUCAUACACAUUGUGUACACAGUGCUACAUUUCCUGACCACUUAGCAGCCAAAUCAAUCACCUAAAUUUUUGCAGGUUAAAAAAAAAUCAAAUCACACCCCAACCAAGAUAGUUAUACCCGUACAACAACAGUGUGCAGAGCAACCCUUAGACACAGACUCUGGGUUUGUCUACAUGGAGCAGCAACACACGCUACAGAGGUGAGAUUUCUAAAGUGCACUGAUGGGUUGCACACAUUAAUGGCUGCACGUAGACUCUGCUAGUGCAAACAGAGUUCCCUAGUGCACUUGAAUGUCGUGCUAAACAGCUCACUGUUCAGAUAUCCUCCCAUUCUCUCUUCCAAAGAGUGACGGUGCUGAGGACCUGGUCCAGGGCCAGGGACUUCAUCAAAGUUCGAAUAUCCUCGCUCUUUGCUUAGGCCAUCUGGGAUCCCAGCCAUAGGUAACCCCAUUCUGUUUCUGGGAGAAGUGCGCCCUGAGGUCUUGCUCCAUGGCAGCCACUUGGAAUUUUUCCUUUGGACAAGAGGCAAACAGAGGCCUCUGGAAAUUAAUUGUUAGGCUUAAACUUCACUAAGUGUGAUGGUGGAUUCUCUAUCCCUGGCGAUUUGUAAACCAAGGCUGGAUGUUUGUCUAAAAGCUCUGCUCUGGGAAUGAUCCUGGGGCAGUUCUCUGGCUUGUGGUACACAGGAGGUCGGACUAGAUGAGCCCAGUGAUUCCUUCUGGCCCUGAGUUGGUUAUUCAUGGAAGAGGAACGAGCGCCAGUUUAUCAGGAAUGGCUUGGUCUGGGAGCAGACUUUCAUGUCUCAUGCUGGGGCUGUGCAUGGGCACAAAUGGGAAGGUUUUUUUAAUUCCUGUAUGCAAAAAAGUACGUCCUGUUGGUUCCCGGCCUGUUAGGAGAUGGAGUCUGCCCAGAGAAGGUUGUGCACACUAGAGAGGGCAUAUGUGCUUCUCUCCAGUGCUUCCAUCUGUGGAUCUGAAAACUCAGCCUCACAACAGCCUCGAGAAGUCUGCAUCAUCCCUGGAUUAGUGCUGGGAUAUGUGAGGAAACAGAGGGGAGGCGACUUGCUCCCAGGCAGUGACAGAGCUGGGCCUCCCCCCAAGGAAUGCAGCGUAGUUUACUGGGCAGAACAUUGGGCUGGGACUUGUGACACGGAGGGGCUCGCUGCUCCAUCCGCUGGGUGACCUCAGGCAAGUCAUGUCCCUGCUCCGUGCCUCAGUUUCCCCUAUCUGUAAAAUGGGGAUAAUGCUACUGACAGUCUUUGUAAAGCGCUUUGAGAUCCAGUGAGGAAAAACACUAUAUCGGAGCUAGGUAUUAUUAAUAUUUCCUCUGCCCUAACCACUAGGCCACCACUCCUCUCCCAGAGCUUGGAACAGAACCCAGCAGUCCUGACACCCGUCCCCACUUCCUCUGCUGUAGCCCCUAGACCCCAACUCCCUUCCAGGGCUGGGAAUAGAAACCAGGUGUCCUGACUCACAGUUAUCUGCCCCACCACCCCUUCCUUCUGUUUCUAUUGUUUGUGUGAACCGUCUCCAAGAUGGAUUCUUUCCCAUUAACAGUUUUCUACUAACAUCUAACACUGCCGCUGCUUUAUUUCCCUGUGACCUUCAAACAGACCCUCAGACGAAGCAGCGGAGGGGAAAGCGCCUUUGAAAUACUUCCUUUGGGACCUUAGUCCUGGCCUAGCAGGGUGUGUGCCGGCAGGCAGGCAUCGAUCCAUGAAUACAAGACAAUGUAAUAGACUUUCCACCAAAAACAGCAACAGCCUCCACAAUUCCUGGGUGCCUCUGAUAAAUUAAUUUCUUCACACUCUUUUUACCAGGAUAAUAGCUGGCAUGAUCGCAGUUAAUAGCAACGGAGCAGUUGUCUCCAUGACAACAUUAGACCCUAUUAAAAUCACCCUCAUCUGUCUGUCUCCUAGGGACAAUAGGAACAACUGAGGGGAAGGGCAGAAAUGAUAUUGGGGCUUGUUUGUUUAUCUCUCUUGCUUUAAGGUUCCCCAUAUCUCCGUUGAGUUGGUCCAAAGCCCAGAAAACUCCUCAGUGGACUCUGGUCUAUUUCGGAGCGAUCUAUCAAGGGGAGAACUGCAGUUUUAGAGCCGCACAGGGGCCAGUUCCCAUGUACACUCAGGCCUCUUUACGGCCAUUCAGCAGCAAAAAGGGCCUUGGUACAGUGGGCACAGAUUAACUGACGCUCAAUUGGAAGCCCCUUUCCCAUGCCGGAGCAGUGCCACGGAGAACAAAGCGCCCCAGAAUUUAAGAUUGGAUUGUGGAGGAAGAUGGAGCAGUGAGUCACCAGUCCACCCACAUGUGGCCAGUUUCAGCCCCUGGGCUCUCAAGGGUUUUUAUUAUAUGGGCUGGGGUGGGGAGAAAGUGCUUCCUACAUCACUGGCAGCCAUUGGGACUGCUUUGGUCUAAGCCCACUGGAGCGUCACAUUUAGAGCCAGUCUCUCAACUCAGGUUUGCCAGGCGGGUGGCACAAGGUUACCACCGUCUAACAGCCAACAAAACUGGGAUACUUCUUGUCCUAACCCCGCUCUUGGUAUCUCUCGAUCUUCGGCUCCUUCCAGUUACCCAGAACAGUCUUCUUGUCUCCCUUCCCUGCCAUCUCCCCCCUAUGCACACACAAAGCUUCUGCACAGAUUUUGCUCUCUGCCUCUGGCCUCCAUCCCCCUCCUCGUUGCUUUUCCUGCUGCAUUAAGAUGUGCAGGGUAUUUAACUGCAUUAGGUAAUUCUAGAAUGGCGUAACGUUUCUGUGACUUAGAUCUCUAAAGCAGUUCACGAUUCAAAGCACCUCUGUCCCAUGAUUAGGGCCAAAGAAGGUAGACGGUACCAUCGGUAGUUUUAUGCUAGUAACUUGUACUCUCAAUGUGCACACUUACCUAGUGGUCAGAGGACAGGCCUGGGGUCAGAAAAUUGUCCCAUUAGUCAUAAGCAGCAGCGAGAGAAUACGGUUUGCCACUGAGUCACUUUGUGAUCUUGGCCAAAUCUGCCCUAGUUUGCUCAUCUGUAAACCAGGUGGAAAUGACAGUUGCCCAGCUCUGCAAAGUGCUCUUCAGUCCUGUGGAGAACGGUGCUGCAGCUGCUCUGUCUCGGCCAGUGGCUCUCAACCUUUCCAGACGACUGUACCCCUUGCAGGCGUCUGAUUUGUCUUAUGUACCCCAAGUUUCACCUCACUUAAAAACCACUUGCUUGCACAAUCAGACAUAAAAAUACAAAAGUGUCAGAGCCUGCUAGUGUUGACAAAUGGCUGACUUGCUCAUUUUUACCAUAGCACUAGAAAAUAAAUGGAUUGGAAUAUAUUGCAUUUACAUUUCAGUGUGAUACUUCAGCCUGUUUUUUCCACUUGUGAGCUUUGUCUGAAGCACGAGCCCUGCCGCCCGGGGCUGAAGCAUGUAACUUAGCUUCAUAGAGACUCCUGUGAUGUGAGGCCCUGGGCAACUGCCCUGCUUGCCAGCCCCUAUGGCCUGCCCUGCACUUGCAAUCCCCCAAACCUGUCCCAUAACCACCAGAUUGAGAAACACUGAUCAAGAUAAGUUGAGUACCCCCUGGAAGACCUUUGUUCACCCCCAGGGGUACACGUACCCCAGCUGAGAACCACUGCU